rnacentral:misc_RNA from 1 species
AUAGCAUCUGAAAAAAAAAAAAGGGCAAUUAAAUUCCUGCAAAGUUCUCACACCACUAAAACAAAUCCUAUUAGAUAUUCUAAAUAGAUAUAGAUGAUUAUUACAAGAAAUGCAAUAAGCAAAGACUUGCUCAAGAGCUUGUAAUGUUCAUGAUCAUUGACUUUUCCAUUGUCUUCUCUUGUCUUUCUUUUUUUAAUUAAAUUGAUUACGAUCAAUAAAGACGUUGUAGGGAUGAUAUUUGAGUUAUCAGAAAUUGAAAGAACAAAAGAAUAACCAGUAGAAUCACAUGCAGAAUGUGAAAAAUAUAGCAAUACUGUUUUCAUGAUUAAAAUGAACUUGAAAGAUAACAAAUAUCACAAAAACCACAAUUCA